rnacentral:rRNA from 1 species
UACGAAGGGGGCUAGCGUUGUUCGGAAUCACUGGGCGUAAAGGGCGCGUAGGCGGCCGAUCAAGUCGGGGGUGAAAGCCUGUGGCUCAACCACAGAAUUGCCUUCGAUACUGUUUGGCUUGAGACCGGAAGAGGUAAGUGGAACUGCGAGUGUAGAGGUGAAAUUCGUAGAUAUUCGCAAGAACACCAGUGGCGAAGGCGGCUUACUGGUCCGGUUCUGACGCUGAGGCGCGAAAGCGUGGGAAGCAAACAGG